rnacentral:tRNA from 1 species
ACCCAUCUAGCUGACUCAAUAUAGCAUGAGACUUUUAAUCUCAGGGUCAUGGGUUCAGGCCCCAUGAUAGGAG